rnacentral:rRNA from 1 species
AUUGAACGCUGGCGGCAUGCCUUACACAUGCAAGUCGAACGGCAGCGGACCUUCGGGUGCCGGCGAGUGGCGAACGGGUGAGUAAUAUAUCGGAACGUACCCUUCAGUGGGGGAUAACGUAGCGAAAGUUACGCUAAUACCGCAUAUUCUGUGAGCAGGAAAGCAGGGGAUCGCAAGACCUUGCGCUGAUUGAGCGGCCGAUAUCAGAUUAGCUAGUUGGUGAGGUAAAGGCUCACCAAGGCGACGAUCUGUAGCGGGUCUGAGAGGAUGAUCCGCCACACUGGAACUGAGACACGGUCCAGACUCCUACGGGAGGCAGCAGUGGGGAAUUUUGGACAAUGGGCGCAAGCCUGAUCCAGCCAUGCCGCGUGAGUGAAGAAGGCCUGG